CGGACUUAGCGGCGGACGGGUGAGUAACGCGUGGGAACAUACCCUUUGGUACGGAAUAGCCUCGGGAAACUGAGAGUAAUACCAUAUACGCCCUUCGGGGGAAAGAUUUAUCGGAGAAAGAUCGGCCCGCGUUAGAUUAGAUAGUUGGUGGGGUAAUGGCCUACCAAGUCUACGAUCUAUAGCUGGUUUGAGAGGAUGAUCAGCAACACUGGGACUGAGACACGGCCCAGACUCC
rnacentral:rRNA from 1 species